UAGGGAAUCUUCGGCAAUGGGGGCAACCCUGACCGAGCAACGCCGCGUGAGUGAAGAAGGUUUUCGGAUCGUAAAGCUCUGUUGUAAGUCAAGAACGAGUGUGAGAGUGGAAAGUUCACACUGUGACGGUAGCUUACCAGAAAGGGACGGCUAACUACGUGCCAGCAGCCGCGGUAAUACGUAGGUCCCGAGCGUUGUCCGGAUUUAUUGGGCGUAAAGCGAGCGCAGGCGGUUUGAUAAGUCUGAAGUUAAAGGCUGUGGCUCAACCAUAGUUCGCUUUGGAAACUGUCAAACUUGAGUGCAGAAGGGGAGAGUGGAAUUCCAUGUGUAGCGGUGAAAUGCGUAGAUAUAUGGAGGAACACCGGUGGCGAAAGCGGCUCUCUGGUCUGUAACUGACGCUGAGGCUCGAAAGCGUGGGGAGCGAACAGGAUUAGAUACCCUGGUAGUCCACGCCGUAAACGAUGAAUGCUAGGUGUUGGAUCCUUUCCGGGAUUCAGUGNCGCANCUAACGCAUUAAGCACUCCGCCUGGGGAGUACNACCGCAAGGUUG
rnacentral:rRNA from 1 species